GGGCCCUUAGCUCAGUUGGUUAGAGCGAGCGACUCAUAAUCGCCAGGUCGCAGGUUCGAGUCCUGCAGGGCCCA
rnacentral:tRNA from 1 species